rnacentral:lncRNA from 1 species
UGCUCAUUAUUGUCACCCAUUUUACAGAUUGGGAAGGUGAGGAACAGAGGGGUGGAGAAACUUACCUAAGGUCACACAGAGUAAGUGGGAGAGCUGGGAUUUUGGCCACAGUAUUUUGGAUCCAGAGUUUGUGUAGAUGACCACUCUGCUGUACUACCAAGAAUUCAACCAAAGGCCAUGUGAAUCGCACCCCUGGAACUGUGCAGGGCCCACCUGUGUGGCCACACGCAGUGACCCUGAGCAAAGGAGUGACCACAGAAGUGCAUGGCAAAGCAGAAAGGUGUGACGUCUUGGAGGACGCGGGAGGAAAGCACGCCCAGCGGACAGGAGCCAUCACGCGGCUGCGGGCUGCUGCUGAGAACCUGGCGUGGGCCACCGUCGUCAGCAGCGUGGAGGGAGCCGAGGAGCAUGGACACCGUCUUCUCCUUCCAGCAGGCACAGGUAUGGAAGGAGACUGAGGCUGGUCUUGGAUGGACACUUGUUAUUGCAGUCAGAGUCCAUCUGGAUAAUCCUGGAUAAAUCUCAUCUGGAGAUCCUUCACCAGAUCACAUCGGCAAUGACCUGUUCCCCAAAUAAGGCCCUGUGCACAGGUUCUGGGGUGCUAGGAGUGAGCCACCAUGCCUGGCCCAGUUUUUAAUGCUUGGACAUCUCCAAAAUCAGGACAUAUCUUGUAAUUGAAGACGUCUCACCAUAGCGGCCAGCCGUGCAACCACUGGGCCUGUCUGUGCCUGAACAACACACUGGCCUGCCUUUGCCUGAACAAGACAGCCUUAGUCUCAAAGCUUGCAGAUGGGUGUGGCCUGGUAGAAAAUUCUCAAGACAACGGCGGAGCACGCUUGCCCCUAGGAGACCAAGUGGCCGGAAUGUUGAGAAUCAGCCUUUCGCAGAAAUCCCCUAAGCGGGAGGCAGCAGGCUGACUCCAUCAGCCCCAGGCAGGCUUCUGGGCCCUGCAGCUAUGGCUCUUCAUCCUUUUACAUGUUCUUCGAGAAUCAGCUGCACCCUGGAUGCUUCUGACAGCUCAGAGGACAUCAGCAUGAGGACAAGCACAGGGCUUGAUGGCUCGGAGGGAAAUGGAGUUGGAAGAUUUGGACUUAAUGUGCACACAUUUUAGAAAUAUCUUAACAAAUUUUAUUUUGCUGAUAUCUUUCUUUUUUGUGUGUGCCAAAGUGAUGGCCAGUACAAAUCCAUGUCUAAUUAAGUCCAGAAGAGCUCCUUCAAUAAGCGUAAGAUGAAAGUUAUGAGUGAUAAGAAAGCGUCAUGUCAGUUUAAUUGGCAGCAUUUUCUCUUUCUUAGUGGUUCAUAAAAUAAGGCAGUGCUUUGCUAUCGACGGUGUCUGAAAUUCUGUGAAUAUUCAAAGUUAAAUCUCAUGCUGAACAGCCACUGUGCGCAAGGCGGGUGA